UGUAAAUUUAACCAGCACCAUUGAAAAAGCUUAUUAGGAGUUUGCUGUUCAUAUUUUCUGGUUAAGAAAGGCCAAACCUUGCUAUGGGAAUGACAAGACGAAAAUAGAUGUCCCCUAGAUUUUUCCUGAAGAUUGUCUGAUAUCAGUGUGUCUGGCGUCCUUCACCCCCACCCUCCCAAAGGGGAGGCUCCAGCAAUUAUGAGGGAAGAAAUCUGUGACAGGUACUGAACACAACCAUAAAUGGACUGCAUUUGAAAAUAAAAACUGAAAACGGCUGCAAGGGACUAAGGCAUUGAUGCAGUUUGACGUGUCUUUGUAGCCUGCCUGAUCCACUCUUGAAAAUACUUCACCUCUAACGUCCGGGCUGCACGGACUGAGGGUGGGUCAUUGUCAUUGCUGUAGCGGAGGUCCAAGUGAUGGGCUCCAUCAGGAAUCAUAAUGGAUACCAGAGAAUCUGUUAUGUUGUAAGUCACUCCACCAGCUGACCAUGGGUCAAGUCCUCCGUUACUGAAAUACAACAGCAGAGACAGUGUGCACUGAAAAUAUAUGAGACACUUGUAUACAAGGUUGUUCAUUUAUGGCAUGGUGUGGCAGCAACCAACACAAAAUCAUUAGUGACUUUUCAUAUAAUUGUUUUGUACAUUCUAGUAUCAAUACAUCAGAAUUCACAGCAUGCAUUCUUUGAACUGUUAUUGUCUUAUAUGUCCACAUAAAGUCUGUGAAAACAAAUUUCAAGCACAACAUGGUUAUUUAUCUACUGGGCUACGCCAACUUUACAAGAGGUUAACGUAAGCAAGUAAGUAAGUAUGUUUAUUUAAAUAAAUACCACCU